UUCCGUACCGCGAUGAGGAUGAGG
rnacentral:sRNA from 1 species